CGCGUUCACAAAAGGCAGUUUAUCUUACUCAGAGCAGACUCGUGUGCUGACAAGGCUGAACAGACUUGUGUGAACGCGGCUUCAGAAGAAGUGAAAGUAAAACUCUAUCAUGUGUCUCCAGAGGAAGAGACAUGUCACAGCCCUGCCCUGCAUCCCUUUAUAAGCAUAUGUAUUAUUUUCCCUGCACGACUUCUUUUCACUAGAAGAACCACAAAAACAUAAGGAAUAUGGAGAGAAAAAAUAACACAAAGGAAGCGCAACGUGCCGAUAUCUCUUUCAAGGUGAUGUGAUGCAAUAGGAAUCAGAAGAACAGAAGUAAAAGUCAUCAGCAUUAAGUUAUCAGCAUUAGAUCUGUGCAGCUUGGGCCAGAGUAAAAAUUUCCUCUGCAAUGAAACCGGAUCCAGUCACUGAGCUGAUGCCUGUACAAGUAAAUCACUAUGUAGGGACAGUCUCCCCCUACUGAAAUAAACUCUUUUUUAUGACAUUGUGUUAGUAUUUAAUACAUAUAUUGGGCAUUUUCAUGAAAAACAUCUUCGAUGUGUAGAGUUAAACUGCCGUACGGGCCAAGGACACCAGACGACUGGCAGGUCAGACACUGUGACUGGCACCAUAGUGGAAUGCUAGCUUUUAAAUUAGACUUCACUA